rnacentral:rRNA from 1 species
GAUGAACGCUGGCGGCGUGCCUAAUACAUGCAAGUCGAGCGAACAGACGAGGAGCUUGCUCCUCUGACGUUAGCGGCGGACGGGUGAGUAACACGUGGAUAACCUACCUAUAAGACUGGGAUAACUUCGGGAAACCGGAGCUAAUACCGGAUAAUAUAUUGAACCGCAUGGUUCAAUAGUGAAAGACGGUUUUGCUGUCACUUAUAGAUGGAUCCGCGCCGCAUUAGCUAGUUGGUAAGGUAACGGCUUACCAAGGCAACGAUGCGUAGCCGACCUGAGAGGGUGAUCGGCCACACUGGAACUGAGACACGGUCCAGACUCCUACGGGAGGCAGCAGUAGGGAAUCUUCCGCAAAGGGCGAAAGCCUGGCGGAGCAACGCCGCGUGAGUGAUGAAGGUCUUCGGAUCGUAAAACUCUGUUAUUAGGGAAGAACAAAUGUGUAAGUAACUAUGCACGUCUUGACGGUACCUAAUCAGAAAGCCACGGCUAACUACGUG